rnacentral:lncRNA from 1 species
GCACUACAACAAAAACGGUCUAUAGCGAUACUUUUAAAUGUAGGUACAUGUCAAAAAAAUACUGCUAACUAAAAUUACCGACACUUUUAAAAAGUGUUGCUAUAUGGGGGGUCGCUAGGUAUAUAGUGACAGUUAAAGAGUGUCGCUAUAACCUAAAAGAGUGCUGCUAAUUUACCAACACUUAUUUAAGCAUUUAGCAACCGCCGAAACUCUAUCUCAUUGGCUGCGGUGGCAGAGGAGGACGACAGGAAAGAAUCUUCGUCUAGAAUUUCAGUGGAUUGAGUGAAGAGAGAAGAAAAGAUGGUAAUUGAUUUUUCUUUUUUUUUCCUUUUCUAUUUGUAAUCGGGCCAAAUGGACUGGGUGUGGUGGGUUGAGUAGAGUAAUCUUUUAUUUUUGGUUGGAUUGGGCUUUAUAUUUAGGCAUUAGUAGAUAUUUUUUUAAGUUUUAGCAUAAAUAGGACACUUACUCAAAAGUGUUCCAAACAUGUGUCCCUAUAACAUAAUUCUGUUGUAGUGGCGUGCGCGUGCAACGCGGAGCCAGCGCGGAGAGAGCACGCGAGCCGUAACGUCCUUAUAAUAAUAAAUAUAAAAAUAAAAAUAAAAUAAUUAAUAAAUUAAAAUAAUAAAAUAAUAAUUAUUAGGAAAUUUUGGAUUUUCACCAACAGGUCCCAAGUGUUUUAUCCGAGAUACUAUUAAUAGGGUGUGCAAUCUCUUAUAUUUUAAUAGUGUUAGUUUUUGUAGGAGUGAGGUUACUAUGCUUCUGAAAGCACGGAACCUUUCGUGCUUCCAGGUCACUUUUGAUGUUGCGACUUUCGAAUCGUCGAUCGGCUCUGUUAAACUUGAUUUAGAGUAUUUGAAGUACCUAGAAAAUAAAUUUUGCAAUUUUUCGAUAUCAUUUGCCUAGUGAACUAAGGGGCUCAUAAUUAACGGCUGAAAAUAAAAAUCUUACAAAACGUGAUAAUAUGAUAUUAAAAUUUUAGAUCAAAGAUAUUGAUCUUGUUUUAUAUAGUAUAAAGAAUUUUCUAUCAAAAUUUCACGUGAUUUGGAUAUUUCUACACCGUUAAACUUGCAAACGGCUCACAACGGCCAUUAAAAUUAUUGAUUUUGAGUCCCUUCGAUCACUAGGUAAAUGAUAUCGAAAAAUUAUAAAAUUUAUUUUCUAAGUACUUCAAAUAUUCUAGAUCAAGUUUAACGGAGCCGAUCGACGAUUCAAAAGUCGCAAUAUCAAAAACGACAUGAAAGCACGAAAGGCUCCGUACUUUUAGAAGCAUAGUAGCCUCACUCGUUUUUGUAGUUACCUAAAACAAUAGAUUCAUGGCAUAGUAACGACACUCAGGAUAAAAUGCGUAUCUAGUACUGUUACGCGGAGCUAGUGAUUAAUUUGGGUGCGAGAAUGAUUGCAUUAGGAGUUAUUUUUAUAAACAUGCAUCUAAUGCACCACUUUCAAUAUUUGAUGAAUAAUUUUUUUUUAAUUAAAGACAAAGUUUACAGAAUUAAUUAAACUCUGAUUUUGAUGCACUUGCAUUUAAAUUUGUAGUGUUCCAGAGGUUUGGAUAGGAUUGGCUACUGUAUUAGUGACUGGUCGACACAUUUGGAAAGUGUCGGACUGAGUCGGAAUUGUUUCUGCACGAAAUGGAUGCAGAAAUGGACUCGACGCACUCGAAUAAGCAAAACUGAAGUUUUGCCAGAUUCUGGCGCUCAGAACAGGAUUUGGGUCGCCCAGAAUUUGAGUGCAGAAUUGAGCAAAACUGGAAACCAAUUCGGAUCCUAAUUUCGGGUGCCCAGAAGUGGGUCCGAAAAUUCACCUCGUGAAUAUCGUUUGAGCUGACACGUGUUUGUGGUAGAUGAGAUCCACCGGACUAGAUUUAGGGCACAGCACACCGCAGGCGGAGGAGUCGAAGUGGGAGCUUUAUAUGGCCUGGAGGUUUCGGACGCCCAAAAUGUUGUUUCGGGCGUCCGAAAGUGCUCGUUUCUGUAGGUGUAGCAGGUUUGUAGUGUUUGUUCAUGGGGCUUACUUUAUCCUUCCAGCACACUAUAAAUAGCUGGAGUUCGUCCCCAGUGAACUAUUUUCAUCCUCUCUUCACAGUGAAGACCAAAUUAGCAUUUCAACCCCUCAAAUUACUCCAAAUUUUUCAAUUUCCACCAUUUCCUCCUUGAAGACUGCAGUUCCAGUAGAAUUCCAACAGCGACCUUCAGCGUUUUGACUCGUGUGCGACGUAGGAAGGUCGGAUUGCUGUGAAACUUGGUUUGGUGGAUUCUAGACUUCAAGAGAAAUUCGUGGAGCCCAUUUUGAUAGAAUUUGAUUCAGGUUAGUAUAGUCAAAUUGCUAUUCUUCUGGACUGCUGCAGUAUUGAAGCUGAAUUUUGAGUUUUGUGGGUUUUCUUGAUGCAAUUUUUGGAGGAAGCUAAGUUUUGGACCAGAGGGUGAUGCUCCAUCUCAGUUCACAGGAUUUGGGACCUUUUCUCACCUGAUUUGAAAAUUGGAAGGUAAAGUUGACAUUGUGAAUGAGGUGAAUUAAGCUUAGAUGCUGAAUUUUGAAGUAUUGAUGGAAUUGGUGGUGUUUCAUGUUCAGAUCUUUGGAGAGGAGUGUGCUGAUUGUGACCGAGCUUAGCAGGGUUUUCCGGCGACCUCUCGCUGCCGUAGACUGAGUGCUAGAGGUGGGUUAAUCAUCGGAUUCUCCUCCUAAGGGCCCGUUUGGUUCGAGUUAUGUAAUAUUACAAAGUAUCUCGACAUAUCCAGGUAUCUUGGAUUUCGGCGUAAGAUUACUACUGAUGCCGCAUUAGCGCGUUUGGUUUAAUGCAGUAAUGUAAUACUAGAUUACACUGUUUAUAGCAUUAAUACGUUUGGUUCAGUUUUUAAAAUUUAGUAAUCUUGACAUAAAAGUAUAGUUUUUUUCAAAAUUGUCCUUGUUGUGGUCAUUUGAAUAUUAUUUUUUGCGGAAAUGACAAAUGGAGGGAAGGAGAUCAUGAUGAUUACCUGGGAGGACGACGCAAUAGAAGAUGAUAGGUGUUCGUACGCGUGCGCGAGAGAGAGAGAGAGAGAGAGAUAGAGAGAAAGAGAGAGCGAGAGACGUUGAGAGAGAGAGAGAGCGAGAGACGUUGAGAGAGAGAGAGCGAGAGAAAGCGGCGUGCGAGAGAGAGGGGGGAAGGCGAGAGAGAGAGAUGAAAAUAAUACUGUUAAUUAGAUUUGGGGUUGUUGGAGGGUAAAAUUGUCAUUUUACAUAAUAUGUAGUAUUAACGGGUUUUAGUAAUGCAAGAUACACGACCCCCCUCCCGUUAAUAUUUUCGAUGUAAUCCUGCUCGAUUUGUAAUGCUACAUUAACGACUAGAUUACAUAGCGGAUUAACCAAACACAGUUAUCCUGGCAGGAUUGCCUGUAAUCCUGCCAGGAUAACUCGAACCAAACGCACCCUAAGUGUAUGAAUAGUCAACAUGUAUAUUUUCAACCUUUGUAUAUCAUAUUUUUAGCUCGAAUUCAUCGAUUAGCAUGUUAAACAAAAUAUGAAUUUGGAGCAUGCUGUAGUGAGUUAGAUAAAUUAUAAAUAUUGGACUUUGAAUUGACUUAGCAGAAAACCGGCGAUUCUAUACUGUCAUAUGUUAAAACUACUAGAUCUAGCUCCAGAAGCCGUAGUUUUUUUGUAUCGCCGCAGUUGGUGGGCAGUUGAUACCCAGAAUAGUAUAGAAUGUUUUUACGCUCGUACCGAGAUGCCGAGCUUAUAUUUACAGCAGUGUUUUAGGCUGUGUCGGAUUGUCGGAUGCCGUUGUGGUUGACGGUGGACCCAGAUAACGGUUUUUGUAUCAGAUUGUGCCGAGGGCACGUGAGUUGGAUUCUUAGACCCUAUUACUUGACUAUAGCUUGUGAGAGCCUGAUUGAGUUCGACAGAGAUACGCUUGCAUACUCGGUUGGGUAGCGCCUACGAGUACCACUCCGGAGUCGGGCUUUGUGCGUUUGCGUUGGUGUCGUUGUGUCCUAGUUGGACUUGCUCUUCACAGACGGCUUAGCAUGGAGGUAGCUGUAUAGCUUCGACAGGCGGGACGGGUGUCUUCACAGUCCCUAGUGAAAUUGGGUCAGAGAUUGCAUUAUUCUACAGAUAGUUAGUUUUGGAUCAUGAUAGUAGAAUGGCAUAUAGCUGUAGAUUGUUUCCAGUUUCUUUACUAUUAUUUGUGCAUACUUUCUGUAGACUUGGUGGAUGAACCGAUGAGUUUGAGGGUGGUACCCACUGAGGAUUACUUCUUUUACAGUAGUUCUCACGCCCAGUUGUUGCCCCUCUGUUUGCAGAGCCUUCUUCUUCGGCUGCUGCUAUUGCGGAUAUCGAUCGUGGAAAGGGAGUCGCAAGCUAGAUCCCUUCCCGUUUUGCUGCUGAUUUAGAGAUAUAUCGGUUACAGGUAGUUGUAGUUUUUUGUUCUUGUACAUACUGCUGUUAGAUCCUCGCUGGAGCGAGUAUUUUUGUACUAGGAUGCGAUGUAUGUAUAGUGAACCAGUUUUACUUAUAUAUUAUUUUUUUUAGCAGCCCUAUACUACUAGUUGUAGUGUUGUAUGAUUACAGUUAUAGGUACAGCGAUCGCUUCGUAUAUGGAAAAAAAUUUUAUGUAUACGGCGAGUCCGUUGGCGUGCCCGGGGAAACGAGUAAUCCGGGGCGUGACAAUAUUAGAAGGUUUUAGCGGUUCAUGUGGUGGUGCGCAACAGGUGCACACAAAUUUAGAUAUUUUAGAUUAUACCUACUUAAUUAGAAUUUAAUUUUAAGAUAUAAAUUGUUAUGUGCAAAAGGUGUCGUUAUAAACAUAGGGACUAAGUGCAUAAUGCACAAAAUUAUUACAAUUUUUUUUAAAAAAAAUAUUCUUACAUUGUAUUUUUUUGUAUAGUAAUUUAUACAUAAUUAAUAUAUUUUUUUAUGAAUAUUAAAAAAUAAUUAUAUUAUUCCUCAAGUUGUUUAAACUAUAAAACAUUAUGGUUCUUGACAUUAUUUCUAUCUUGACUUAACUAUUUAAUUUCCUACCAAUUGGAAAGGAAGAUGCACAAAACUUUGAGAUAAAUUAAAGUCACAGUGAAAAUUGGAAUAUAAAAAUUUAAGUAAAUAUUGUAGUAGCUUAAAUUAUUGAUAGAAUAAUCAUUCUUAUACAUGAAAUGUCUAAGAUGCUUCACAAAAAAAAUUAAGUGUGCUAAAAGAUUAGCAAGCAUAUUUGAGACUUCAUACAUAAACCCAACCAAAAGCCUUGUUAUUAUAUAUAUAUACUUCAAAGUAUAGAAAUAGACAAAUAUAGCAUAUAUAAAUUAGAUAUAUAGCAUUUUGAAGGAUCUAUAACACGAGGGAAUCAUUUGCUUGAAUGUAAUUGUAGUGCAGUUGAAGAUGCAUACAAUUAAAAAUGCAGCAGUUAUACUUACAUGCAUCUUAUCUUUAAUUAGAUGUUGUACGUAAAAAGCGCUACAGCUAUAAAUAAUUUAUUUGAUUGUAUGAGGUUGAGAAGUAGCUACAUUUGUAAAAUUUUAUCACUUUAUGUAUAAGAUAGUGAUUUUACUAUUUAAUCAACAAAUGUAAUAAAUUUAAAACAUAAAGAAUCACAUACUUCAGAGUAAAAUCACGUGUAAAAACUUAGAUCAUGCUACCGACCGUCUCUAAAGCAAGUGGCAAAGGGCUUGGUGGUUAGUACCCGAGACCCAAGUUCGAAUACUAGUUGAUUCACAUUUCCAGCUAAGUUUAUUUCUAAAUGAAAUAAACAAAACGGGUAGCGUGCUACCUAUCUCUCAAAAAAAAAAAAAAAAAAAAAAACUUAGAUCAUGCUAUUUCAUAGCAUUUUAGGGUUUAGAGUUUAGGAUUGUAGGGUUAGAGUUCUGGUUUUUAGGGUUUUAAGUUUUUAGAAUUAUAUAUUUAGGAUCCUAUUUGCCUCUAUUUCAUAGCAUCCUUCAACUUUUUUUUAUUUAUACCCAUUUAACUUUCAAAUUUUUUUAUUUCAAUUUUUCUGGUUAUUUAGCUUUUUUUUAGAAAAAUCACUCACUGCAAUAGCUAUUAGUUGUUCAUAGCUCUAACUCUAUUUUCUAAAAUAUGCUUAAAAUAUUAUAUUCAACAAAACCACUAAUAAAUUUGAUAAAAUUUUAAAAUUUACUUGAUAAAAAUGACUCCAGUACCCGUACAAAAAAUAUUAAUUAAAAGUUGAAGGAUGUGCGAAUUAAAACAAAAAAAAAAGGAGUAAAUUAAGUUGAGAUAGGUGAGUAUCUAAAUAACAUGCAUAUAUAGUUAAGAUCAAAUUUGUCAUUCUAUAAUUUAACUUAUAUUAAACUAGCCUCGAACCAGGGUUAAUUAUCGCCAAAUAUCGUCAAACACUACAACAAAAACGGUCUGUAGCGACACUUUUAAAUAUAGGUACAUGUCAAAAAAGUGCUGCUAGCUAAAAUUACCGACACUUUUAAAAAGUGUUGCUAUAUGUGGAGUUGCUAGGUAUAUAGUGACAGUUAAAGAGUGUCGCUAUAACCUAAAAGAGUGUUGCUAAUUUACCAACACUUAUUUAAGCAUUUAGCAACCGCCGAAACUCUAUCUCGUUGACUGCGGUGGCGGAGGAGGACGACAGGAAAGGCUCUUCGUCUAGAAUUUCAGUGGAUUGAGUGAAGAGAGAAGAAAAGAUGGUAAUUGAUUUUUUUUUUUUUUCUGAUUGUAAUCGGGUCAAAUGGACUGGGUGUGGUAGGUUGAGUAUAGUAACAUCAUAUUUUUUGUUGGAUUCGGCUUUAUAUUUAGGCAUUAGUAGAUGUAUUUUAAAAUUUUGACAUAAAUGGGACACUUAGACAAAAGUGUCCCAAACAUGUGUCCCUAUAAUCUAAUUCUGUUGUAGUGUUGGUGUACAUUGUGCAUGGAUGCAUACUUGGAUUUAUAGAAAACGAGAGAAGGGUGGGAGAAAUUUAGAAAGAGAGCUCGGGUUAAAGCAACUCUGUAUAGAAAAGAAGUCAUAUGUAAUUCUUCUUUUGAUUAAUGAAUCUUAUUUCAUCCGCUUUUUCUAUUUAUUUUUUUUCUCUUUUGUGACUGCAAUUUAGGGUAAAAAUUCGAUUUGACGUUUUCGUUGCAGAAUCUCAACAAUCGGUACUGGAUCGAGUAUCGGGUCAACAGCAAUAGUUAUCAAGGCGAGUU